UGGGGAAUCUUGUGCAAUGGGCGAAAGCCUGACACAGCCAUGCCGCGUGUGUGAAGAAGGCCUUCGGGUUGUAAAGCACUUUCAGUCGUAAAGAAAAGCUUCGGGCUAAUACCUCGAGGUCUUGACGUUAGCGACAGAAGAAGCACCGGCUAACUCCGUGCCAGCAGCCGCGGUAAUACGGAGGGUGCAAACGUUAAUCGGAAUUACUGGGCGUAAAGCGCGCGUAGGCGGUCUGCUAAGUGGGAUGUGAAAGCCCCGGGCUUAACCUGGGAACUGCAUUCCAAACUGACAGGCUAGAGUCUGGUAGAGGGAGGUGGAAUUUCCUGUGUAGCGGUGAAAUGCGUAGAUAUAGGAAGGAACACCAGUGGCGAAGGCGGCCUCCUGGACCAAGACUGACGCUGAGGUGCGAAAGCGUGGGGAGCAAACAGG
rnacentral:rRNA from 1 species